AUUGAACGCUGGCGGCAGGCCUAACACAUGCAAGUCGAACGAGUGGCGGACGGGUGUGUUAUGUCUGUGAAACUGCCUGAUGGAUGGGGAUAACUACUGGACACGGUAGCUAAUACCGCAUUGCAUAGGAUGUGCCCAGAUGGGACUAGCUAGGAGGGGGGGUAACGGAUAACCGAGGCGACGAUCCCUAGCUGGUCUGAGAGGAUGACCAGCCACACUGGAACUGAGACACGGUCCAGACUCCUACGGGAGGCAGCAGUGGGGAAUAUUGCACAAUGGGCGAAAGCCUGAUGCAGCCAUGCCGCGUGUAUGAAGAAGGCCUUCGGGUUGUAAAGUACUUUCAGCGAGGAGGCGUUACUCGCAGAAGAAGCACCGGCUAACUCCGUGCCAGCAGCCGCGGUAAUUC
rnacentral:rRNA from 1 species